CCUACGGGCGGCUGCAGUGGGGAAUAUUGGACAAUGGGCGAAAGCCUGAUCCAGCCAUGCCGCGUGUGUGAAGAAGGCCUUCGGGUUGUAAAGCACUUUCAGUGGGGAAGAAAGCCUUGGGGCUAAUACCCUCGAGGAAGGACAUCACCCACAGAAGAAGCACCGGCUAACUCCGUGCCAGCAGCCGCGGUAAUACGGAGGGUGCGAGCGUUAAUCGGAAUUACUGGGCGUAAAGCGCGCGUAGGCGGUCUGAUAAGCCGGUUGUGAAAGCCCCGGGCUCAACCUGGGAACGGCAUCCGGAACUGUCAGGCUAGAGUGCAGGAGAGGAAGGUAGAAUUCCCGGUGUAGCGGUGAAAUGCGUAGAGAUCGGGAGGAAUACCAGUGGCGAAGGCGGCCUUCUGGACUGACACUGACGCUGAGGUGCGAAAGCGUGGGUAGCAAACAGGAUUAGAUACCCGAUUAGUC
rnacentral:rRNA from 1 species